UACGGAGGGGGCGAGCGUUAUUCGGAAUUAUUGGGCGUAAAGGGCGCGUAGGCGGCUUGGCAAGUCAAAGGUGAAAUCCCUCGGCUCAACUGAGGAACUGCCUUUGAAACUGCCUGGCUUGAGGCCGGGAGGGGGUAGCGGAAUUCCCAGUGUAGCGGUGAAAUGCGUAGAUAUCAGGAGGAACACCGGUGGCGAAGGCGGGUCUCUGGGCCGAUACUGACGCUGAGGAGCGAAAGCGUGGGGAGCAAACAGG
rnacentral:rRNA from 1 species